rnacentral:rRNA from 1 species
AGUGAACGCUGGCGGUAGGCCUAACACAUGCAAGUCGAACGGCAGCACAGUAAGAGCUUGCUCUUACGGGUGGUGAGUGGCGGACGGGUGAGGAAUACAUCGGAAUCUACUUUUUCGUGGGGGAUAACGUAGGGAAACUUACGCUAAUACCGCAUACGACCUACGGGUGAAAGCAAGGGAUCUUCGGACCUUGCGCGAUUGAAUGAGCCGAUGUCGGAUUAGCUAGUUGGCGGGGUAAAGGCCCACCAAGGCGACGAUCCGUAGCUGGUCUGAGAGGAUGAUCAGCCACACUGGAACUGAGACACGGUCCAGACUCCUACGGGAGGCAGCAGUGGGGAAUAUUGGACAAUGGGCGCAAGCCUGAUCCAGCCAUACCGCGUGGGUGAAGAAGGCCUUCGGGUUGUAAAGCCCUUUUGUUGGGAAAGAAAAGCAGCAGGUUAAUACCCCGCUGUUCUGACGGUACCCAAAGAAUAAGCACCGGCUAACUUCGUG